UGUUAUUGCAAUUCAUCUUAAGGU
rnacentral:siRNA from 1 species